CCUACGGGUGGCAGCAGUGAGGAAUAUUGGUCAAUGGACGAGAGUCUGAACCAGCCAAGUAGCGUGAAGGAUGACUGCCCUAUGGGUUGUAAACUUCUUUUAUAAAGGAAUAAAACGAGGCACGUGUGCCUUUUUGCAUGUACUUUAUGAAUAAGGAUCGGCUAACUCCGUGCCAGCAGCCGCGGUAAUACGGAGGAUCCGAGCGUUAUCCGGAUUUAUUGGGUUUAAAGGGAGCGUAGAUGGGUUGUUAAGUCAGUUGUGAAAGUUUGCGGCUCAACCGUAAAAUUGCAAUUGAUACUGGCAGUCGUGAGUACAGUUGAGGUAGGCGGAAUUCGUGGUGUAGCGGUGAAAUGCUUAGAUAUCACGAAGAACCCCGAUUGCGAAGGCAGCUUACUAAACUGUGACUGACGUUGAUGCUCGAAAGUGUGGGUAUCAAACAGGAUUAGAUACCCUAGUAGUC
rnacentral:rRNA from 1 species